UUUAGCCGAUCUUUUUCAUGCCCACUACCUCUUCCAAACGGAACCCUUUGCCAAGGAAAAAACUAGGGCAGCUUUGUGAGUCUCAAAUUUUUCAACCCAUGACCCAAGACUGGGGCAACUUUGUGAGUCUCAUACAAAUUUUUCAUCAACCCAUGAUCCCAAGACUGAGGCAGAUUUGCAAGUCUCAUUUGAUUUGUUCACCCUUAUUUUCAUGGAUCCAUACCCCUAUGCUCAUUUUCCCAAACACUAAACAAGGGUAAACUUUUUCGUCUUGGCACUCACAUAUUACAUCUCCUUUGAGGAUUGUAGUACCCAUAUGUCGGUCCCAAUCUUCCAAACCAUUCCAAACGGCUCUUAUUCUCUUCAAAGCCAUCCUCUUGCCAAUAAAUUCAAGCAUGUGUGCA
rnacentral:lncRNA from 1 species